CGAAGGGGCGAGCGUUAUUCGGAAUCACUGGGCGUAAAGCGUGCGUAGGCGGCUUUGUAAGUUAGGAGUGAAAGCCCAGGGCUCAACCCUGGAAUUGCUCUUAAAACUACAAAGCUCGAAAUCGGGAGAGGAUAGCGGAAUUUCCAGUGUAGCAGUGAAAUGCGUAGAUAUUGGAAGACACAGUGGCGUAAGCGGCUAUCUGGACCGACAUUGACGCUGAGGCACGAAAGCGUGGGGAUCAAACAGGAUU
rnacentral:rRNA from 1 species